GGAUGGAUUGGCUCGAGAGUCUAUGAAGAAUGUGACAAGCUGCAUUAAGUUCCGGCGAGCUGCACGUAAGUUUUGAACCGGAAAUAUUUGAAUGGGAUUCCCAUUAAAUGCCGAAAGGCAAGAGAACGUAGGGAAUUGAAGCGUCUUAGUACCUACAGGAAAAGAAAGCAAAAGCGAUUCUGUAAGUAAGAGCGACUGAAAGCAGAACAGCGCAACCUGAAUGGGAUAUGGAAACAUAUCGCGGAUGUGGGUGGCUGUACUUGGCCGUAGUUGAGUAAAUUAAAAUUUUCUGGAAAGUUAUGCGAUACAGGGUGAUAGCCCCGUAAAUGUGAAUCAACCGGCCGUUUAGAACAGUCAUAGAGUAGCGGUAAUUGGAAAUUUGCCGUGAAUGUGGGAAGCAACAAUUCCUAACGCUAAAUACUCCUCGAGACCGAUAGCGUAUAGUACCGUGAGGGAAUUCUGAAAAGUACACGUAAUAGUGUGUGAAAAGACCUGAAAUCUAUUGGUUAUAGUGGGAUGCGGCCCUAAGGGGUUGCAUCGUGCGUUUUGAAAAACGCGCCAACGAGUGUAUCUUUAUGGCAAGAAUAAUCUGUAAAAGAGUAUUCGAAGGGAAACCGAAAUCAUUGCAACGCAAGUGAGAAUGGAGGUAUUAAAGUGCCUAUAGUCAUGAGGAUACGACCCGAAGCCGGUCGAGCUAUGCCUGAGUAAGGUGAAGCGAACAAUUUUGUUCGUGGAGGCCUGAAGAGUUGUUACGAGCACGUACUCUUAUAACUUGGGUAUAGGGGUGAAAAGCCAAUCGAGACCGGUUAUAGCUGGUUCCUAGCGAAAUUGGCCUUAGUCAAGUGCAAUCCGAGGUAGUGGUGUCGGUAAAGAUACGGAUUUGAGAUUUAGGGGGCGAGAGCCUUCGGUUUUUUGUCCAACUCUAAAUGGCAUUACGCCGUAGACGAUUGUAAACGGGGGAUGGGGGUAAGCCUCAUUCCCGAGAGGGGAACAACCCACACUUUAGUUAAGGUCCCUAAAUAUCAGUUAAGUGUUAAAGGGUGAAAGGUGUCCAUAAACAUAGACAGUGAGGAGGUUGGCUUAGAAGCAGCCAUCCUUUAAAGAUAGCGUAACAGCUCACUCAUCAAGUUUAUGGGUCCUGAAAACGGACGGGGCUAAACUGAUUACCGAUACUAAAGGCAAUAAUUAAUGUAAUUAUUGUGGUAGCUAGGUGUAUUGCUUGGGCAGAAGCUUCUUUGUGAAAAGGGGUGGACCGAGUAAUAAUAAGAAUGUUGGCGAUAGUAGGAUCAGAGUGAUGUGAGAAUCAUCAUCAUCGAAAGGGCAAGGGUUCCAUUGCACUGUAAAUCAGCAGUGGGUUAGUCGAUCCUAAGCAGAUUCCUAACUGGAUAUACUGCGAAAGGGAAACAGGUUAAUAUUCCUGUACUUAUUAAGUAUGCGUGGCAACACAAGUCUAAUUUCAGACGGUUGGGGCUAGAUGCGAAACUGAUCAAGGUUUUUAAACAAAUUAAGUCUUUGGAGUGUUACAAUGACGAGAAAAAGAUUAAGUUUGUGAACAGUAUUACUUCAGUAAUAUUGUGUUGAUGCCUCGAUCCCAUGAAAAUGGAAUUAGAAAAAAUCUUAAUAAUUCGUACCAAGAACCGACACAGGUGCCCCUAGGUGAGAAGCCUAAGAUGUGAAGGGAAUAAUCAUUGUAAGGGAAUUCGGCAAUAUUGGCCCUGUACCUUCGGUAUAAGGGGUCCCUGAUUUUGUGUGCUUAUGUAUGCAUUUUCAGGGCGCAGUGACUAAGGAGGUCCGACUGUUUAACAAAAACUUAACCGGCUGCUAGCGUGUAAACGUGUGUAUAGCCGGUGACGUCUGCCCAGUGCCAGUACUUUAAGUCCUGUUUCAACGGGAUGAAGAGCUGGUAAACGGCGGGGGUAACUAUAACUCUCUUAAGGUAGCGAAAUGCCUUGCCGUUUGAUUGACGGCCUGCAUGAAUGGCGUAACGAGACUUCCGCUGUCCCUACAAUGAACCCUCCGAACAUUUGUUCUGGUGCAAAGGCCAGAGACUUCUGGUGGGAAGUAAAGACCCCGUGAAACUUUACUGUAGCCUGUAGUUGUGGUGUGAAAGGUGUUGUGCAGGGUAAAAAGUAGCUGUUUGAGGUGAGUAUCGCAAGGUAUUCGUUUAGGCGUCCAUGAGACACUUUUUUACAACUUUUACAUCGCUAACCAAUUUAUUGGGACAUCUAUUGGUGGACAGUUUGGCUGGGACGGCACACCGUCGAAAAGAUAUCGACGGUGCCCUAUGGUAAGCUCAAUCCGGUCGGAAAUCGGAUGUAGAGUGCAAAAGCAAAAGCUUGCCUUAGUGGAUUUCAAACAGAACGAAAUCCAUUCACGAAAGUGUGGUUUAGAGAACUCCCGCAGCUUCUUGUUGAGGCUCGGGAACUACUGAAAAGUUACUCCGGGGAUAACAGAGUUGUCUCGCCCGAGAGUUCGUAUCGACGGCGAGGCUUGCUACAUCGACGUCGGCUCUCUCUAUCCUGGCCGUGCAGAAGCGGCCAAGGGUGGGGGUGUUCACCCAUUAAAAGGGAUGUUAGCUGGGUUCACAACGCUGUGAAGCAGUUGGUUUAAUAUCUACCAGAAGUGUGGGAUCUCUGAGAUUAAGGGAGCUCCAGUACGAAAGGAACGAGUUGCCGAUGCCUCUGGUGUAUCAGUUGUCUGACAAGGCAUGCUGAGCAGCUACGCAUUAGUUGAUAAGUGCUGAAAGCAUCUAAGCACGAAGCAAU
rnacentral:rRNA from 1 species